GGGUUGUGAGGUUAAGCGACUAAGCGUACACGGUGGAUGCCCUGGCAGUCAGAGGCGAUGAAGGACGUGCUAAUCUGCGAUAAGCGUCGGUAAGGUGAUAUGAACCGUUAUAACCGGCGAUUUCCGAAUGGGGAAACCCAGUGUGAUUCGUCACACUAUCAUUAACUGAAUCCAUAGGUUAAUGAGGCGAACCGGGGGAACUGAAACAUCUAAGUACCCCGAGGAAAAGAAAUCAACCGAGAUUCCCCCAGUAGCGGCGAGCGAACGGGGAGCAGCCCAGAGCCUGAAUCAGUGUGUGUGUUAGUGGAAGCGUCUGGAAAGGCGUGCGAUACAGGGUGACAGCCCCGUACACAAAAAUGCACAUAUUGUGAGCUCGAUGAGUAGGGCGGGACACGUGGUAUCCUGUCUGAAUAUGGGGGGACCAUCCUCCAAGGCUAAAUACUCCUGACUGACCGAUAGUGAACCAGUACCGUGAGGGAAAGGCGAAAAGAACCCCGGCGAGGGGAGUGAAAAAGAACCUGAAACCGUGUACGUACAAGCAGUGGGAGCACGCUUAGGCGUGUGACUGCGUACCUUUUGUAUAAUGGGUCAGCGACUUAUAUUCUGUAGCAAGGUUAACCGAAUAGGGGAGCCGAAGGGAAACCGAGUCUUAACUGGGCGUUAAGUUGCAGGGUAUAGACCCGAAACCCGGUGAUCUAGCCAUGGGCAGGUUGAAGGUUGGGUAACACUAACUGGAGGACCGAACCGACUAAUGUUGAAAAAUUAGCGGAUGACUUGUGGCUGGGGGUGAAAGGCCAAUCAAACCGGGAGAUAGCUGGUUCUCCCCGAAAGCUAUUUAGGUAGCGCCUCGUGAAUUCAUCUCCGGGGGUAGAGCACUGUUUCGGCAAGGGGGUCAUCCCGACUUACCAACCCGAUGCAAACUGCGAAUACCGGAGAAUGUUAUCACGGGAGACACACGGCGGGUGCUAACGUCCGUCGUGAAGAGGGAAACAACCCAGACCGCCAGCUAAGGUCCCAAAGUCAUGGUUAAGUGGGAAACGAUGUGGGAAGGCCCAGACAGCCAGGAUGUUGGCUUAGAAGCAGCCAUCAUUUAAAGAAAGCGUAAUAGCUCACUGGUCGAGUCGGCCUGCGCGGAAGAUGUAACGGGGCUAAACCAUGCACCGAAGCUGCGGCAGCGACACUAUGUGUUGUUGGGUAGGGGAGCGUUCUGUAAGCCUGCGAAGGUGUGCUGUGAGGCAUGCUGGAGGUAUCAGAAGUGCGAAUGCUGACAUAAGUAACGAUAAAGCGGGUGAAAAGCCCGCUCGCCGGAAGACCAAGGGUUCCUGUCCAACGUUAAUCGGGGCAGGGUGAGUCGACCCCUAAGGCGAGGCCGAAAGGCGUAGUCGAUGGGAAACAGGUUAAUAUUCCUGUACUUGGUGUUACUGCGAAGGGGGGACGGAGAAGGCUAUGUUGGCCGGGCGACGGUUGUCCCGGUUUAAGCGUGUAGGCUGGUUUUCCAGGCAAAUCCGGAAAAUCAAGGCUGAGGCGUGAUGACGAGGCACUACGGUGCUGAAGCAACAAAUGCCCUGCUUCCAGGAAAAGCCUCUAAGCAUCAGGUAACAUCAAAUCGUACCCCAAACCGACACAGGUGGUCAGGUAGAGAAUACCAAGGCGCUUGAGAGAACUCGGGUGAAGGAACUAGGCAAAAUGGUGCCGUAACUUCGGGAGAAGGCACGCUGAUAUGUAGGUGAAGUCCCUCGCGGAUGGAGCUGAAAUCAGUCGAAGAUACCAGCUGGCUGCAACUGUUUAUUAAAAACACAGCACUGUGCAAACACGAAAGUGGACGUAUACGGUGUGACGCCUGCCCGGUGCCGGAAGGUUAAUUGAUGGGGUUAGCGCAAGCGAAGCUCUUGAUCGAAGCCCCGGUAAACGGCGGCCGUAACUAUAACGGUCCUAAGGUAGCGAAAUUCCUUGUCGGGUAAGUUCCGACCUGCACGAAUGGCGUAAUGAUGGCCAGGCUGUCUCCACCCGAGACUCAGUGAAAUUGAACUCGCUGUGAAGAUGCAGUGUACCCGCGGCAAGACGGAAAGACCCCGUGAACCUUUACUAUAGCUUGACACUGAACAUUGAGCCUUGAUGUGUAGGAUAGGUGGGAGGCUU
rnacentral:rRNA from 1 species